CCCGCCCCUACCUCCUGGACGUGCUGCUCCGCCUGGGUGUGCGCGUGGGAGACCCACAGCCCCUACCUAACGUUGCCCACCCCUUGGGCACCUGUAAGGCAAGCAGGCCCGCGGGGGACACAGAGCGCCUCACCCCUCCUGCCCACGCGGCCGCAGCCUGGCCCCUUCCGUGUCCCACACCGAUGGGCUCUAGCCCAGAAGUCACCUCUGCAUCCCUCAGGCCUUCUCUUAGCGUGCACAGGUGGCCUUGCGGCUUGUGGGGGAGUGAGUAGCUGUGAAAAUGCCUCUCAGCCCCCCCCCCCUCAAGUUUGUUCAGGUCCUAGAGACUCUCUGCCUGAGGGGGCCCUGCCCCAGGGCCGCAUCCACACCUCUGACUGUGGGUGUCGCCGCGGGUGCGGGUGCCCUGCACUGAGCAGCUGGCCGUGGCCACGAGGGUGGGUGGCCACAAGGGUGGCCGUCUGUUUCAGAACUGGGAAGUGGUACUUCAUGUAUGAUUUUGUUUCCUCCCAAGUAAGAAAAAUUUGGGGGUAUUGGAAAGCUUGCAAACUCAACGUUAAUCUAAUUUCCAGUCUCCUUGUGGAUGGGUAAUAAUCACCAAGUACUAGUGGACCCUGGUAAAUGAGCCUUUCAAUGAAAAUGUCCUGUUGUCACACAACAGGUGACUCACCAGUUUUGUGCUCUGCCUGCCGAGUGUGCCCUCACACACGCCCAAGUGCACUCACAGGCACGCACAUGCUCACACACAGCCACAUGCACUCAUGCGUACUCACACAUGUGACUCCUCUAGUCACACACACAGUCGUACAUACGCACAUGGCCACGUAAUCACUUAUACAGUCACAUGCACACCCACAGUCAUACCCAUAGUCACAGUCACGUGGGCGCACACAUAUGUGCGCACUCACUCACAAGUCUCUCCUUAAAAACACAGAGGGGGAAAUUGUUUUCAAGGGCUGGAUUAAGGCGGGAGCAGGCUCAAGGGCUGGCUUUUAAAAACCAUUGUCUUUUAUUGGAAGUGCUCACAAAAGACGUUUUGUGCUAGAGAAAGAAAGCAUGAUCAAAUGAGAGGUAAAUGCAGAAAGCGGUAACACCCGGAGGCAGGACAGAAUGUUCUAUGUUCUGUGCCACAGGAGCAACUUAUUUGAGGAGAAAGUGGGCAGUCCUUGGGUGAGGGUAGGUGUGUAUAUGUUUUUAGUAUUUUCCAUCACUGUGUGGAAAUCAGUGACCUGGUGGCUUUGUACAGCUGUAUGCAGUGAUUUUAAAGAUUUUAUUAAUUAUAUGAGUAAAAGUAAAACUCCUCUGCCUUUUAGUAGCUAUACCCUUUUCCCACUAACCGGAGGCUGAUUUCUAGACCUUUUUUCCAUGCAUCUAAGUGUAUAUAACUCUAAGGAUGAGACGGAAAUAGAAUAUUAUAAUCAGAUAAAGUAGGUUAUAGAAGAGUACUAUAUUACCUCAGUUUUUGACUUAUUUUGUAAAAGUCAAUAACUGAUGUUUGUCUUGUUUGACUUUAAUGUGUCAAGUCUUAAUUAUAUUUUAAAUUGAAGCCUUACAUUUUAAAAAAUCAAUUUUGUAUUCUUCCUGUGGAGCUCUUUGUUCUGGUAUCUCUCUCAAGUUCUAGGCACAAAUUUAGUUAGAGGGGAAGCAUUUAAUUCCGUGGGACCUAGAUCAGCCACCAGAUGAGUUGCAAAAACAAAAAUCCCACCUGUUGAAUAACGUCUCUUUUCUAACCCCUAUUUGAAUGCAGAGAAAUAAAUUUGCUUUUACUUAAAGUGAAUAUUUUAAUACCAGAUAGGCAGAGUUAGCAAUGCUUGCCAAGGUGAAUUGGAGACCUACGUCUCUGUAAACGCUCUUGGUCCCAUCCCCACCCUGCCCUGGAUGACCACUGCAGCACUCGGUCCUGUGUGGGAGGACUUGUCCUGGAGCUGAGACGGCAGGUCAGGAGCACAUAAAUUGACUCCGAGUUUAAGGUGGGGAGCGGAGUGGCACAACUUGGCCUCAUCUUGCACUUAGUGCAGAUACGAGUAAUCAAGAUGCCCAGAUUUCUGCUUUUGUUUUAAAACAGCAACAUGUUGAAGAUGUUGCUGGUGGCAUCCUAAAGAGACUGACUUCCUGAAGCAUCUGUCUGUCUCUGCGUCUGCAGGUCUGCUUGUACAUCCCUGUCUGUCGCUUUCCUCCCCCUCCCUCUUUCUACAGGCUCCCCGCCCCCCUCUCUCUCAUAACUGGCCCCAAUACAAAAUUCAGCACGUUUUUCUACUCUGCAUUUAUUAAGUAGAGUUGGUGUGCCUCAGUCUUCACUUUAAAAGCAAACGAGUGGGACAUUUAUGUUGCCCUGGCUAAUGAUGCUCCAGAAAAAACAAAAAGGUUCUACAUGUGAUACAUGAUGUCUGUUCAUUGCUGUGACUGACAUUUUGAGAAAGUUUUCUGUCACUGUGCUACAAUUUCUUAAUGCUUAAAUAAAAGAGAAGUUCAAUGAC